GAUGAAGAACGUAGCGAAAUGCGAUAAGUAAUGUGAAUUGCAGAAUUCAGUGAAUCAUCGAAUCUUUGAACGCACAUUGCGCCCUUUGGUAUUCCGGGGGGCAUGCCUGUUCGAGCGUCAUUUCAACCCUCAAGCUUCUGCUUGGUCUUGGGCCGUGCCGGCAACGGCUGGCCUUAAAACUAGUGGCGGUGCCAUCGAGCUCUACGCGUAGUAAUUCUAUCUCGCGUCUGGGCUUCGGUGGACGCUGGCCAGCAACCCCCAAUUUUCUAUGGUUGACCUCGGAUCAGGUAGGGAUACCCGCUGAACUUAAGCAUAUCAAUAAGCGGAGGA
rnacentral:misc_RNA from 1 species